rnacentral:tRNA from 1 species
AAGAAAGUGACAGAGAGGUGAUGUGGUUGGCUUGAAACCAAUUUACGGGGGUUCGAUUCCUCCUUUUCUCG